CCUACGGGUGGCAGCAGUGAGGAAUAUUGGUCAAUGGCCGGAAGGCUGAACCAGCCAUGCCGCGUGAAGGUCAGUGCCCUAUGGGCGUUAAACUUCUUUUGUGCGGGAGCAAUAAUGGUCACAUGUGGCCAGACGGGAGUACCGUACGAAUAAGCAUCGGCUAACUCCGUGCCAGCAGCCGCGGGAAUACGGGGGAUGCAAGCGUUAUCCGGAUUUAUGGGAUUUAAAGGGUGCGUAGGCUGUGAGGUAAGUCAGCGGUGAAAUGCCCCCGCUCAACGGGGUGAAGUGCCAUUGAUACUGCCUGGCUGGAAUGCGGAUGCCGUGGGAGGAAUGUGUGGUGUAGCGGUGAAAUGCAUAGAUAUCACACAGAACACCGAUUGCGAAGGCAUCUCACGAAUCCGCGAUUGACGCUGAUGCACGAAAGCGUGGGUAUCAAACAGGAUUAGAUACCCGGGUAGUC
rnacentral:rRNA from 1 species